UACAGAGGGGGCAAGCGUUGUUCGGAAUUACUGGGCGUAAAGGGCGCGUAUGCGGCCUGUUAAGUCGGACGUGAAAUCCCUCGGCUCAACCGGGGAACUGCGUCCGAUACUGGCGGGCUUGAAUUCGGGAGAGGGAUGUGGAAUUCCAGGUGUAGCGGUGAAAUGCGUAGAUAUCUGGAGGAACACCGGUGGCGAAGGCGGCAUCCUGGACCGACAUUGACGCUGAGGCGCGAAAGCCAGGGGAGCAAACGGG
rnacentral:rRNA from 1 species